UGAGGAAUAUUGGUCAAUGGGCGCAAGCCUGAACCAGCCAUCCCGCGUGCAGGAAGACGGCGCUAUGCGUUGUAAACUGCUUUUCCAGGGAGAGAAACUUGCGCACGUGUUGCGCAAUUGACGGUACCCUGGGAAUAAGCAUCGGCUAACUCCGUGCCAGCAGCCGCGGUAAUACGGAGGAUGCGAGCGUUAUCCGGAUUCAUUGGGUUUAAAGGGUGCGUAGGCGGACUAUUAAGUCAGUGGUGAAAUCCUGCAGCUUAACUGCAGAACUGCCAUUGAUACUGAUAGCCUUGAGUUUGGUUAAGGUAGGCGGAAUGUGUAAUGUAGCGGUGAAAUGCUUAGAUAUUACACAGAACACCAAUUGCGUAGGCAGCUUACUGAGCGGACACUGACGCUGAGGCACGAAAGCGUGGGGA
rnacentral:rRNA from 1 species